CUCGUAGGCGGUUCGUCGCGUCCGGUGUGAAAGUCCAUCGCUUAACGGUGGAUCCGCGCCGGGUACGGGCGAGCUUGAGUGCGGUAGGGGAGACUGGAAUUCCCGGUGUAACGGUGGAAUGUGUAGAUAUCGGGAAGAACACCAAUGGCGAAGGCAGGUCUCUGGGCCGUCACUGACGCUGAGGAGCGAAAGCGUGGGGAGCGAACA
rnacentral:rRNA from 1 species